CAGAGUAUAGCUAAAUUAGGAAAGCGUCUCCCUUACACUGAGAAGUUACUUGUGCAAAUCAAGUUAUUCUGA
rnacentral:tRNA from 1 species